rnacentral:rRNA from 1 species
AACGAACGCUGGCGGCAUGCCUAACACAUGCAAGUCGAACGAGACCUUCGGGUCUAGUGGCGCACGGGUGUGUAACGCGUGGGAACCUGCACUUAGGUUCGGAAUAACUCCCCGAAAGGGGUGCUAAUACCGGAUAAUGUCUUCGGACCAAAGAUUUAUUGCAUCUGGAUGGGCCCGCGUUGGAUUAGAUAGUUGGUAGGGUAAAAGCUUACUAAGGCAACGAUGGAUAGCUGGUCUGAGAGGAUGAUCAGCCACACUGGAACUGAGAGACGGCCCAGACUCUUAGGGGAGGCAGCAGUAGGGAAUCUUCCGCAAUGGGCGAAAGCCGGACGGAGCAAAGCCGCGUGAGUGAUGCAGGUCUUCGGAUCGUAAAACUCUGUUAUUAGGGAAGAACAUAUGUGUAAGUAACUGUGCACAUCUUGACGGUAACUAAUCAGAAAGCAACGGCUAACUACGUG